rnacentral:rRNA from 1 species
GACGAACGCUGGCGGCGUGCUUAACACAUGCAAGUCGAACGGAAAGGCCCUGCUUUUGUGGGGUGCUCGAGUGGCGAACGGGUGAGUAACACGUGAGUAACCUGCCCUUGACUUUGGGAUAACUUCAGGAAACUGGGGCUAAUACCGGAUAGGAGCUCCUGCUGCAUGGUGGGGGUUGGAAAGUUUCGGCGGUUGGGGAUGGACUCGCGGCUUAUCAGCUUGUUGGUGGGGUAGUGGCUUACCAAGGCUUUGACGGGUAGCCGGCCUGAGAGGGUGACCGGCCACAUUGGGACUGAGAUACGGCCCCGACUCCUACGGGAGGGAGCAGUGGGGAAUAUUGCACAAUGGGCGGAAGCCUGAUGCAGCAACGCCGCGUGCGGGAUGACGGCCUUCGGGUUGUAAACCGCUUUCGCCUGUGACGAAGCGUGAGUGACGGUAAUGGGUAAAGAAGCACCGGCUAACUACGUG